AACGAACGCUGGCGGCGCGCCUAAUACAUGCAAGUCGAGCGAGAAGACGUAGCAAUACGUUUGUAAAGCGGCGAACGGGUGAGGAAUGCAUGGGUAACCUACCCUCGAGUGGGGAAGUAACUAGCCGAAGGUUAGCUAAUACCGCGUACGCUCCUUGGACUUCGGUUUCAGGGAGGGAAAGACGAUACCGUGGGUAUCGCGCUCUUGGAUGGGCUCAUGUCCUAUCAGCUUGUUGGGAGGUAACGGCUCACCAAGGCUUCGACGGGUAGCUGGUCUGAGAGGACGAUCAGCCACACUGGCACUGCGACACGGGCCAGACUCCUACGGGAGGCAGCAGUAAGGAAUAUUGCGCAAU
rnacentral:rRNA from 1 species